CGGUACGGGUACGACUGAUCGUGUGUCCUGGUGGGCUCCCAGGUGACAAGUCAGCUCUUGCUGGAUUUCUUUAUUUCUGUGGACAAGAGAUGAGCCCAAAACACAGCUGCUGAGCAUCAAUUUGUAGGACCCGUGUGUACGCCGCAGUCCUCUGCUGACAUUGCAGAGCAGACAGCAUUGAGGAUGUGACCUUGUCCAGCCUAAGAGGACACAGCUGUGUCCCUGCUAGAGCUCGCUGAGACCUGGCCUGCGAGGGAUGGAGCGAGGCAUGCCUGAGCCCAGGAAAGGCCGUGUGCUACCUGCCUUCCCAAAGUAUAGUGUUUUAGGAAAAUAAAUUAAUGAAAUGAAAAGAUGACAUUUGGUCACUCUCCAAGGACACAUGGGAUGGACAACAGGAAAGCAGCUGGACUCGGUGGAAAUGAGGUUUCCACACCAGCUACCAGGAGAGAGUGAUGCAGCUGCAGGAGCAGCACUGGGGCCAAUGGCCAGGGAAGGGCAAAGAGAUGCUGCUGGAAGCGUCCGAGGGCACCAAAAGGCCCUUUGCCCAGAGGCUGGGUUAUGGACUAGUGCUCCCUGAGACCUCUUCUGGCCCACCCUUCUGCUACUUCCACGGCAUCCCAGUCCCACAGGCAGGCACAAGGAUCUGCCUUCACUGCGAUGCACCCGUCCCCCACCCCUAAUUUGGAUUCAUUUCCCUCUUAAAGAGCUAUCACAUUAUUACAUUAUCACAUUAUGCAAACCAAACAUCACAAAAAGGCAGAUAGUUAACAAACAGACUGCGAGAUUAGGGUUUGCCUGUGGGAUCCAGCCUAAUCAACUGGCCUCCUUAUCUGCCUCUGAUCAGGGCGACACGCUUCCACAUCCCGCCGAGCCAGGCAGCGCCGCGGUCCCAGAGGAGUGGAACAGCAUCUCAAUUACAUAUCUGUUUUUUUAUCACGCUGCUGAAGUAAUGAGGGUCCCAAGCUCUAAACUGCUAAAUAUCACUUGAAGUCAGAGAGACAAAUAUGCACUAAUUAUGGGGAAAAGGCAGCGUCCAGACAGGCGCUCCGGUUGAGGAGCGUGGCUCCGCUGCUGCCAGCCCCCUGUAGGUGUUCGGAGCCACUUCUGCAUUUUCCCAGAGACCUUCUCUAAUUGUUGUGCACUUUUUGCAUGGCAACAGGACAUAGAAGCUUGCUGGGGAGGCACAGCCAACUUUGGAGGUGGAACACGUGAACCAACAGAAGGAGCACAGGGUGCCAGGUUUUCGGCCAAGAGCAGCGCUCUGUCCCCCCAGCAGGCUCUGGCUGUGCACCCUAAGGGAUAGCAGCUCACAGAGCACACAUCCCAUCACAAAUACCCUGCUUUGUGCACCCUCUGAAGGAGCUGGGGCAGAGGCAUGUUCUCACCAUGCCCACCACCCCUGUUCCUCACUCCCUUGGCUGCAGCUAAUCCUCGUUAGAUCAUCCCAUAUAACCUGUUCAGCUGUAAAUCGCUUCCUGCUGAGCACCCAUAAUACACAGAUUGGAGGUAACUUUACUCCAGAGAGCCAAUUAGUGCAAAUCUAGGCCUAGUAAUUA